rnacentral:rRNA from 1 species
UACGGAAGCAGCAGUGGGGAAUAUUGCACAAUGGGCGCAAGCCUGAUGCAGCCAUGCCGCGUGUAUGAAGAAGGCCUUCGGGUUGUAAAGUACUUUCAGUCGUGAGGAAGGUGUUAAGGUUAAUAACCUUAGCAAUUGACGUUAGCGACAGAAGAAGCACCGGCUAACUCCGUGCCAGCAGCCGCGGUAAUACGGAGGGUGCGAGCGUUAAUCGGAAUUACUGGGCGUAAAGGGCACGCAGGCGGUUAAUUAAGUUGGAUGUGAAAUCCCCGGGCUUAACCUGGGAAUGGCAUUCAAGACUGGUUAGCUAGAGUCUUGUAGAGGGGGUAGAAUUCCAUGUGUAGCGGUGAAAUGCGUAGAGAUGUGGAGGAAUACCGGUGGCGAAGGCGGCCCCUGGACAAAGACUGACGCUCAUGUGCGAAAGCGUGGGGAGCAAACGAGGGAUUAGAUA